rnacentral:rRNA from 1 species
AUUGAACGCUGGCGGCAUGCCUUACACGUGCAAGUCGGACGGCAGCGCGGGGGCAACCCUGGCGGCGAGUGGCGAACGGGUGAGUAAUACAUCGGAACGUGUCCUGGAGUGGGGGAUAGCCCGGCGAAAGCCGGAUUAAUACCGCAUACGCUCUAUGGAGGAAAGCGGGGGAUCUUCGGACCUCGCGCUCAAGGAGCGGCCGAUGGCGGAUUAGCUAGUUGGUGGGGUAAAGGCCCACCAAGGCGACGAUCCGUAGCUGGUCUGAGAGGACGACCAGCCACACUGGGACUGAGACACGGCCCAGACUCCUACGGGAGGCAGCAGUGGGGAAUUUUGGACAAUGGGGGCAACCCUGAUCCAGCAAUGCCGCGUGUGUGAAGAAGGCCUUCGGGUUGUAAAGCACUUUUGUCCGGAAAGAAAACUUCGUCCCUAAUAUGGAUGGAGGAUGACGGUACCGGAAGAAUAAGCACCGGCUAACUACGUGC